rnacentral:piRNA from 1 species
UAGAGCAGAUUUUGUUUGGGUUAGGAC